rnacentral:tRNA from 1 species
ACUAUAUUGACAGAAAUUUAAUGUAUUAAAUUUAGAAUUUAAGUAAGUAGCAAAUACAUAUAGUA